rnacentral:rRNA from 1 species
AAAGGAAUUGACGGGGGCCCGCACAAGCAGUGGAUUAUGUGGUUUAAUUCGAAGCAACGCGAAGAACCUUACCAGGUCUUGACAUCCGACUAACGAAGUAGAGAUACAUCAGGUGCCCUUCGGGGAAAGUCGAGACAGGUGGUGCAUGGUUGUCGUCAGCUCGUGUCGUGAGAUGUUGGGUUAAGUCCCGCAACGAGCGCAACCCUUGCCAUUAGUUGCUACGCAAGAGCACUCUAAUGGGACCGCUACCGACAAGGUGGAGGAAGGUGGGGAUGACGUCAAAUCAUCAUGCCCCUUAUGACCUGGGCUACACACGUAAUACAAUGGCCGUUAACAGAGGGCAGCGAAGGCGCGAGCCGGAGCGAAUCCCUAAAAACGGUCUCAGUUCGGAUCGCAGGCUGCAACUCGCCUGCGUGAAGUCGGAAUUGCUAGUAAUCGCGGAUCAGCACGCCGCGGUGAAUACGUUCCCGGGCCUUGUACACACCGCCCGU